AUGACCAGAAAUGGGCAAAGCAUGUGGACCGAACUCUCCUUUCUCAGCCAAAAAGAUAACCAAUACAGAGUGUUUGGACAGCUUUCCUUCUCACUAACUUGUAUAAGUUCCUCAAUCAACUGCUAUCUUGGUAUUAGAAGAGCUAUCAAUUCAAAAGUAUAUCCAGAAUUGCUGUAUUCUCCAAAGCUUGUUUUUCACAUCUACUAUCACCUACAUUGCUGUAAAAGCUCCCCAACUCUUCUUCUUGCUUCUACUCUUGAAGCUUCACCUCCAAAAUCUAUUCUCAAAAGAUCAACCAGAAUGAUCCCUUAA
rnacentral:lncRNA from 1 species